rnacentral:rRNA from 1 species
GCCGGGCGGCGUGCUUACACAUGCAGUCGAACGAUGAAGCCCUUCGGGGUGGAUUAGUGGCGAACGGGUGAGUAACACGUGGGCAAUCUGCCCUGCACUCUGGGACAAGCCCUGGAAACGGGGUCUAAUACCGGAUGACACUUUCUCUCGCAUGGGAGAAGGUUGAAAGCUCCGGCGGUGCAGGAUGAGCCCGCGGCCUAUCAGCUAGUUGGUGAGGUAGAAGCUCACCAAGGCGACGACGGGUAGCCGGCCUGAGAGGGCGACCGGCCACACUGGGACUGAGACACGGCCCAGACUCCUACGGGAGGCAGCAGUGGGGAAUAUUGCACAAUGGGCGAAAGCCUGAUGCAGCGACGCCGCGUGAGGGAUGACGGCCUUCGGGUUGUAAACCUCUUUCAGCAGGGAAGAAGCGCAAGUGACGGUACCUGCAGAAGAAGCGCCGGCUAACUACGUGCCAGCAGCCGCGGUAAUACGUAGGGCGCAAGCGUUGUCCGGAAUUAUUGGGCGUAAAGAGCUCGUAGGCGGCUUGUCACGUCGGUUGUGAAAGCCCGGGGCUUAACCCCGGGUCUGCAGUCGAUACGGGCAGGCUAGAGUGUGGUAGGGGAGAUCGGAAUUCCUGGUGUAGCGGUGAAAUGCGCAGAUAUCAGGAGGAACACCGGUGGCGAAGGCGGAUCUCUGGGCCAUUACUGACGCUGAGGAGCGAAAGCGUGGGGAGCGAACAGGAUUAGAUACCCUGGUAGUCCACGCCGUAAACGGUGGGAACUAGGUGUUGGCGACAUUCCACGUCGUCGGUGCCGCAGCUAACGCAUUAAGUUCCCCGCCUGGGGAGUACGGCCGCAAGGCUAAAACUCAAAGGAAUUGACGGGGGCCCGCACAAGCAGCGGAGCAUGUGGCUUAAUUCGACGCAACGCGAAGAACCUUACCAAGGGUUGACAUCGCCCGGAAAGCCGUAGAGAUACGGCCCCCCUUGUGGUGGGGUGCCAGGUGGUGCAUGGCUGUCGUCAGCUGGGGUCGUGAGAUGUUGGGUUAAGUCCCGCAACGAGCGCAACCCUUGUUCUGUGUUGCCAGCAUGCCCUUCGGGGUGAUGGGGACUCACAGGAGACUGCCGGGGUCAACUCGGAGGAAGGUGGGGACGACGUCAAGUCAUCAUGCCCCUUAUGUCUUGGGCUGCACACGUGCUACAAUGGCAGGUACAAUGAGCUGCGAAGCCGCGAGGCGGAGCGAAUCUCAAAAAGCCUGUCUCAGUUCGGAUUGGGGUCUGCAACUCGACCCCAUGAAGUCGGAGUUGCUAGUAAUCGCAGAUCAGCAUUGCUGCGGUGAAUACGUUCCCGGGCCUUGUACACACCGCCCGUCACGUCACGAAAGUCGGUAACACCCGAAGCCGGUGGCCCAACCCCCUUGUGGGGAGGGAGCUGUCGAAGGUGGGACUGGUGAUGGGACGAAGAUCGUACAUCGAGCGUCAGCC